rnacentral:rRNA from 1 species
AUUGAACGCUGGCGGCAGGCCUAACACAUGCAAGUCGAGCGAGCGGCGGACGGGUGAGUAAUGUCUGGGAAACUGCCUGAUGGAGGGGGAUAACUACUGGAAACGGUAGAUACUACCGCAUACCAUCAGAUGUGCCCCGAUGGGAUUAGCUAGUAGGUGGGGUAACGGAUCACCUAGUCGACGAUCCCUAGCUGAUAUGAGCGGAUGACCAGCAACACUGGAACUGAGACACGGUCCAGACGCCUACGGGAGGCAGCAGUGGGGAAUAUUGCACAAUGGGCGCAAGCCUGAUGCAGCCAUGCCGUGUGUGGGAAGAAGGCCUUCGGGUUGUAAAGCACUUUCAGCGGGGAGGCGUUACCCGCAGAAGAAGCACCGGCUAACUCCGUGCCAGCAGCCGCGGUAAUAC